rnacentral:tRNA from 1 species
GGACGUAUAGCUCAGUGGUAGAGCACAUGCUUCGCACACACGAGGUCCUGGGUUCAAUCCCCAGUACCUCCA